AUUGAACGCUGGCGGCAGGCUUAACACAUGCAAGUCGAGCGGGGAGAUGUAGCUUGCUCCAUAUCCUAGCGGCGGACGGGUGAGUAAUGCUUAGGAAUCUGCCUAUUAGUGGGGGACAACAUUCCGAAAGGAAUGCUAAUACCGCAUACGCCCUACGGGGGAAAGCAGGGGAUCUUCGGACCUUGCGCUAAUAGAUGAGCCUAAGUCGGAUUAGCUAGUUGGUGGGGUAAAGGCCUACCAAGGCGACGAUCUGUAGCGGGUCUGAGAGGAUGAUCCGCCACACUGGGACUGAGACACGGCCCAGACUCCUACGGGAGGCAGCAGUGGGGAAUAUUGGACAAUGGGCGCAAGCCUGAUCCAGCCAUGCCGCGUGUGUGAAGAAGGCCUUUGGGUUGUAAAGCACUUUAAGCGAGGAGGAGGCUCCUUUAGUUAAUACCGAAAGAGAGUGGACGUUACUCGCAGAAUAAGCACCGGCUAACUCUGUG
rnacentral:rRNA from 1 species